rnacentral:rRNA from 1 species
UGGGGAAUCUUGCACAAUGGGCGCAAGCCUGAUGCAGCAACGCCGCGUGAGUGAAGAAGGCUCUUGGGUUGUAAAGCUCUUUCGACUGGAAAGAAGGGAAGUCUGUCUAAUAUAUGGACUUUCUGACGGUACCAGCAGAAGAAGCACCGGCUAAUUCCGUGCCAGCAGCCGCGGUAAUACGGAAGGUGCAAGCGUUGUUCGGAUUGACUGGGCGUAAAGCGCACGUAGGCGGGUUUGUAAGUCGGAUGUGAAAGCCCCGGGCUCAACCUGGGAACUGCACCCGAAACUACACAUCUUGAAUGCCUGAGAGGUUGGUAGAAUUCCAGGUGUAGGAGUGAAAUCCGUAGAUAUCUGGAGGAACAUCAGAGGCGAAGGCGGCCAACUAGCGGUGCAUUGACGCUGAGGUGCGAAAGCGUGGGGAGCAAACAGGAUUAGAUACCCCCGUAGUCC